CAACCUGAGGAGCGCUGCAACGGGGACUUCCCGCCAGGCUCAGGUUCAUGUAACGGCGCUCGCUGACU
rnacentral:ncRNA from 2 species